rnacentral:misc_RNA from 1 species
AGGGUCUAAAAUAAUAAGCCGUUUUACAAUUAGGGCAAAGAUUCACAGCCUGAUAAGGUCCUGAACCUGCUUCAGGUUUCGAAUCAGUAGUAUUAAUACUACUAUUACUGGUACUACUGUUAUCAUCAUCAUCAUUAGAAGCAGGAGGAGGUGGAAUAAGUUGAUGAUUUCGAUUAGAGAAAAGAAGAUCCAUAUGCUUAGAACAUCGAGGACAAUAAGCUUCCGCCCUAAUCCUUCUCGGAGCAGUUCUAUACUCAUCGGAAGAACCACCACCACCACCACGGUCCCAUUUAUACCUUUCUUGCACCCCAAUUAUAGUCUCUCUCCGCUUCACAUGUAACCAAUUCACCAAAUUCCGAUACUGCAAAUUUCGAUGCUGCAAAUUCCGAUGAUGUUGCUGGUUUCGAAAAAUCAAAUUCCCAAAUGCAGUAUAUUUUACAUUUCUCCAUCUCCAUAACCCAGACAUCCUCAAUACUCUAUAACUCCGUAGUUAAUCCGAAUUCGAACAAUACAAUCAAAUCAAAUACCAUAAAUUAAAGGAUUUGGAAUUGGGAUCUGUG